rnacentral:rRNA from 1 species
GAUGAACGCUGGCGGCGUGCCUAAUACAUGCAAGUCGAGCGAACUGAUUAGAAGCUUGCUUCUAUGACGUUAGCGGCGGACGGGUGAGUAACACGUGGGCAACCUGCCUGUAAGACUGGGAUAACUUCGGGAAACCGAAGCUAAUACCGGAUAGGAUCUUCUCCUUCAUGGGAGAUGAUUGAAAGAUGGUUUCGGCUAUCACUUACAGAUGGGCCCGCGGUGCAUUAGCUAGUUGGUGAGGUAACGGCUCACCAAGGCAACGAUGCAUAGCCGACGUGAGAGGGGGAUGGGCGAGACGGGGACUGACACACGGCCCAUACUCGUACGGGAGGCAGGAGUAGGGAAUCUGCCGCAAUGGACGAAAGUCUAACGGAGCAAGGCCGCGGGGGUGAUGAAGGCUUUCGGGUCGUAAAACUCUGUUGUUAGGGAAGAACAAGUACGAGAGUAACUGCUCGUACCUUGGCGGUACCUAACCAGAAAGCCACGGCUAACUACGUGCCAGCCGCCGCAGUAAAAC